UACGGGGGGUGCAAGCGUUACUCGGAAUCACUGGGCGUAAAGGGAGCGUAGGCGUUUUAUUAAGUCUUGAGUGAAAGCUCGCAGCUCAACUGCGGAACUGCUCAGGAAACUGAUAGAAUUGAGUAUGGAAGAGGUAGGUGGAAUUUCCGGUGUAGGGGUAAAAUCCGUAGAUAUCGGAAGGAAUACCAGAAGCGAAGGCGACCUACUGGGACAUUACUGACGCUGAGGCUCGAAAGCGUGGGGAGCAAAC
rnacentral:rRNA from 1 species